CUACCGCCGAUCGACCGGUGUUUGCUAACGCGGAGGUCAAUCGUGGAUCAGGGAAGCGAAGGCAGGAGGGUGAGGUGAACUGAAUUUCAGAGUGAAAGAGAUCUUUGGUUUUGCCUUUGCUGACUGCUGAUCUGAUCGUCUCAAGUCUGGUGACCUGCUGCAGAAGAUCCUCUCUCUCUAUCAUUAUAAGCAAUUCUGUCUAUCCUAUCACUCUCCCGACUCUAUCUAAUUUGACAGCCAUUCUAUCUUGUAUCCCUCUAUCCCUACUGCUCUAUCUAAUUUGACAGCCAUUCUAUCUUGUAUCCCUCUAUCCCUACUGCUCUAUCUAAUUUGACAGCCAUUCUAUCUUGUAUCCCUCUAUCUCUACUGCUCUAUCUAAUUUGACAGCCAUUCUAUCUUGUAUCCCUCUAUCCCUACUGCUCUAUCUAAUUUGACAGCCAUUCUAUCUUGUAUCCCUCUAUCCCAAGCGCUCUAUCUAAUUUCAGAAUCCAAGUUUUCAGAAAUCCAAGUUUUCAGAUUCCAAGUUUUCAGAAAUCCAAGUACCAGUACUUGAUCUAUCUGUUACAGAAUUCUGAGAGAUCUCUGCUCUCACUGCUCCUUCUUUCCUGUCAUUAAACUCUCUCACAUUCAGUCAUUUUGCUGAAAAUUACAAUUAGAAAGUUGAAUAUACAGUAGUAGAAUAUCAGUACAGUAGAACUUAUAGUAGUAACUACUUAUACAGCCCUACAUUUGUAGUUUUAACUUGGCAUUACUCUUUGGAAUAAACACUGAUAGUUUGGCUUACUGGUGCAAUUACUUUGAUACAUUAUAUAAAAUAUACACCUUUUGAAAGGUUUAUUUGUAAUAAGAUAAUCUGACUAUUCUGUAAUAUAUUCAGAGUGCUAUAUUCACAUAAAUAUUAAAUUUGAUUCAAAUACAUUUUUCAAGUCUGUUUCAUUGGCUAUAAUAUUUGACUACAAGUUUAUACUAUUAUUAUUUAAGGACAAACCCUUUUUUGUCACUCAGUGUAAGUGUUCAGUUAGAAUUGUCAUCUAGAGGCUGCCCUGAGAACCCAGACUUCCUGUUUCCUGACUGCUGCAGAACAUCCAGCUGAAGACUCCCCAUCGCCUGUCAUCUGAUCACCACACCAUCACAGCUCC
ensembl:lncRNA